rnacentral:sRNA from 2 species
AUCUACUGCUGCCAACCUAUCUAUCACUGCUAAUCUAUCACUGCUAAUCUAUCACUGCUAAUCUAUCACUGCCAAUCUAUCUACCGCUGCCAACCUAUCUACCGCUGCCAACCUAUCUAUCACUGCCAAUCUAUAUAGGGUAAAUCAUGGUUCCAUUUGAUUCCAUUUUGUAAAAUGGGAUUAAAUGAGACCAGAAUCACUAAUUUAUUAGUAAAACAUGAUCUGAGACUAGAUUUAUAAUAUAAACAGUGUAAAGUGACUAAUUUGCUAAACACUAUAUGGAAUCAGAACUAAGAUAUCUAAUAAUGGGACUGAGGAAAAAUUUGGUCCCAGUUCCAUGCAUGGUCACACGGCCAGUCUAAGUAAGAUACUGAAUGAAUCUUUUCUUAGACUCUGAUAUAUACUUUCUGAAAAUGCUUUUUAUAUGGUCAAGGCAACAGUUUUCACUUUAUAAAUUCUCAAAGAAUUCUUUGACUAUAUUGUAGAAACUAUGUUUUGAAAA